rnacentral:rRNA from 1 species
GAGUUUGAUCGUGGCUCAGGAUGAACGCUAGCGGCAGGCUUAACACAUGCAAGUCGAGGGGUAUAGUUUUUCGGAACUAGAGACCGGCGCACGGGUGCGUAACGCGUAUGCAAUCUACCUUUUACAGGGGGAUAGCCCAGAGAAAUUUGGAUUAAUACCCCAUAGUAUAAUGAUUCGGCAUCGGAUUAUUAUUAAAGUUCCAACGGUAAAAGAUGAGCAUGCGUCCCAUUAGCUUGAUGGUAAGGUAACGGCUUACCAUGGCUACGAUGGGUAGGGGUCCUGAGAGGGAGAUCCCCCACACUGGUACUGAGACACGGACCAGACUCCUACGGGAGGCAGCAGUGAGGAAUAUUGGUCAAUGGGCGCAAGCCUGAACCAGCCAUGCCGCGUGCAGGAUGACGGUCCUAUGGAUUGUAAACUGCUUUUGUACGAGAAGAAACAACGCUACGUGUAGCGUCUUGACGGUAUCGUAAGAAUAAGGAUCGGCUAAUUCCGUGCCAGCCGCCGCGGUAAC